rnacentral:rRNA from 1 species
GACGAACGCUGGCGGCGUGCUUAACACAUGCAAGUCGAACGAAGAAACGCCUUCCUUUUUGGUGGGUGGGGAUGAGUGGCCAACUGGGGAAUAACACGUUAGUAACCUGCUCCCUCCUUCUGGAUAACCGCAUGAAAGUGUUGCUAAUGGGUGAUAUACUGGGUCUGUCGCUUGAUGGGUCUAGGAAAGAUAUUGUUUCGGUUGGGGAUGGACUCGCGGCCUAUCAGCUUGUUGGUGGGGUGAUGGCCUACCAAGGCGGUGACGGGUAGCCGGCCUGAGAGGGUGCACGGACACACGGGGACUGAGACACGGCAGAGACUCAUGGGGGAGGCAGCUGGGGGGAAUAUUGCAAUGUGCGAGAGAGUCUGAUGCAGCGGCGGCGCGUGAGGUAUGGGUGCCUUCGGGUUGUGAACCUCUUUCGCGAGUGAAGCAGGCGUGCAUCGUUUGUGGGUGGGUUGACGGUAGCUGGAUAAGAAGCGCCCGCUAACUUCGUG